GUCUGCGAUUUCUGCAUCGCGACCCUUGUUAUAUUACCAUGUUUCACCCAUAAAACCCCCCAAAAAUCCAGCUGUGGCCAUUCACAGCUGUGUCUUGAGACUCAGUGAUACAUGCUACAUGGAGUUUUUGGAUCGAAACAAGGCAUAAGCGGUGAUGAGCUGGUGGCUGUCAUGGAAGAAGUGAUGGUGUCAAAAGGCAUGCGAGUGACUCUGUCAUACGACUACAACCAACAAGCUACUGCUUCAGAUUAUUUCUUCUGGUACCAACAAGUUCCUGGACGAACACCACAAUUCCUGCUUUCCCACCUGGGAACCGGUAGCCCGCUUUCUGCCAUGGAGGGAAUGUCAGCGAGCGUGGCAGACAGGCGAGUGCAGCUGCACAUCGAGGCUGUUGCUCUUGAGCACUCUGCAGUAUACUAUUGUGCUGUGAAGACCACAGUGAUGCAUGCACCACAUUAUCAUUACAAGAACGUUUUCUUUUCCUCAACCUUUUCACACCCCCUCUUCCUUAGAAGGACAAAUCACAGAUUUAUCUAAACUUUAAAUAUGUAUCUGGAAAAAUUCAAAAUUCUCCAAUAUUUAUAAAAUGGAAGGAUGCUAUACAAUGAUAUCCAAAAAACAUGAAAGUCUAUUCAGUAGCUCCUUCAGGACUUCACAGUAAUUGGAAUACAAAAACAAGCAUAUACAAGUUCCAGGGGAUAUUCACGAAAAUACGGGAUGGUUUUGCAAUCUAGCUUUGCAGGUAAUGUAAUGCAAAGCUACCACCAUAUACCAUAAAAAAAGUAAAAUUUCAAAACGCUAAUUGUCCUACCGUUUUUAUACGAUUCACAUAAUUUACACAUCAAAAAAUUCAGGUAGGAAUUCAGAAAGCUUAGUUUAUUUUAACACAAUAGUUUAUAUUAACACUAGUUUAUUUUAAACUUAAACUUUAAAGUGCGUACGACAGGAGAAAAAAAGUCUUAAAUAGGAUUAUUAUGUGAAUUAGAAUCAUAUUUUGAGACAAUUCGACUAUAUAUAACAAUUUAGCAAAGCGCAGAUGACAAGAAAUUAGUCUUUUAAACUGGCAGUUAGCCACGCCUACCGUUAUAGGGCUCUAGCAUCCCCAAUGGUGGAUGACCUCAGCAGUCACGAUUUCAUCUGAUAUAGUAUGCAGCCCAUUGAGGGGUUAUUAUUUACAACGAGGAAAACGUGACGAAGAGAGACGCAAAAUGUCAUUGUUUCAGUCUCUCUACUCCAAUAUUUUUACAGGAUAUUCUUUUUAUCCAAGUAUUUUUCCCCAAUAGCUACAUAAAUGGCUUGAAAAGGACAAGUCAGCCCGUUGAGGGGGAAUUAUUCAGAACGAGGAAAACGUGACGAAGAGAGCCGCAAAAUGUCAUUGUUUCAGUCUCUCUACUCCAAUAUUUUUACAGGAUAUUCUUUUUAUCCAAGUAUUUCCUCCAAUAGCUAAAUAAAUGGCAUAGGCAUGACAAAUAACAGUCUUGUGCUAAAUGGAAUAUGAAAUAAGAAAAAUGCAUUUAUUCAAGACGACAUGGCAAAAUUACUCCAUACUGGUCAAAACUGUCGACUUCACCUUUACUGUCGCACUUCCCGAAUGAUAUUUUAUGCCACCUAAAUCAGGCUUAUGUCAUUUCCCUUCCCCGGCUUCGGAGAAUGUAAACAAACCAAGAGGCGUGACAGCUAGCCAACAUGCAACCCGAACCGAGUGAUGUUUCAAAGUCUUCGAAGCGGAAAAUCACACAUAACUAGCCUGGAACAUUUCACAUGACGACUGGGUUGUCGAUUAUCUUUGCCAAUCGACAAACCGCCCGGCAGGAGCAAUUUACAGCUCGUUCCCCCGGCUACAACGGACAGCAGAGCUCGCCGGGGAAGCAGCUAAACAAUGACCGCUGAACAAACCGGCCGAUGUCGGAGGAACGGGUAGCUGCCAAAUGGUCAACACGAAUAUGGCAAAAUAAUGAUAGAUGAAUGAAUAGAUGUCAUGGAAAUGUAUAAUCACAUUGUGUCAGCACUACAUGCUGCCAGUAAACCCCUUAGUACACAUAGAAGGAGGAGUAGAAUUAGGCCUGGCUGGAACACUUAAGUCGCUGAAUUUUUCUGCAGAAGCCUGUGAAGCUACCAAGGCUUGGGCUUCGGCAGGUAGACCCAGGCAGGGCCCCAUAUUUGAAUAUAAGAAGUGUACGAAUGCAAAAUAUAAAUAUGCUCUACGGUACAUCAUAAAGAACAAACAAACAUUGAGGGCUGACUCCAUGGCCAAGAUGUUAUUUUGUAACAACACUAAAGCCUUUUGGAAGGAGGUGAGGCUUGCUACUAAUUGCAAACCCUGCUUACCUUGCUCGAUUGAUGGCUUCUCGGGUGCUAAUGCAAUUGCUGCUUUUUGGCAACAGCAUUACGAAAAUCUUUUUAACUGUGUACCAACUGAACACUAUCAAGUGGGCAAUGUCGAAAAGGUGUGCACAAUUAAGACCCAUGAGGUGUUUCAUGUCAUUAAAAACUUAUCAAGUAAUAGGUCCACAGGUAUGGAUUCUAUAUCUGCCGAACAUCUUUAUGCAUGCUAGUCCGAGGCUAGUUCCACUUCUUGCACUCUGCUUUACUUCCUUUAUGGUUCACGGCUGUCUUCCCGACUCUAUGAAGUCGGUGAUGCUGGUGCCUGUCAUCUCGGAUAAAGCAGGGAAAGUAAGCAGCUUGGACAAUUACAGACCUAUCGCCCUUGCUAGUGUUCUUUCUCAGGUAUUUGAAGUCUUCAUGCUGGAGAGAGUUCACACAUUAAUAAGCUCUUCAGAUAAUCAGUUUGGCUUUAAACCUAGUCAUGGCACAGACAUGUGUAUUUAUGUUUUAAAAGAAUUGGUCAACACCUAUUUGAGGAAAAACUCGUCUAUGUUUAUGUGUUUUCUAGACGCUUCCAAAGCCUUUGAUCGUGUAAACCACGGGAAGUUGUUUAGGAAAUUAAGCCAAGCGGGAGUU